GAUGAACGCUGGCGGCGUGCCUAAUACAUGCAAGUCGAGCGAACAGACGAGGAGUUUGCUCCUCUGACGUUAGCGGCGGACGGGUGAGUAACACGUGGAUAACCUCCCUAUAAUACUGGGAUAACUUCGGGAAACCGGAUCUAAUACCGUAUAAUAUAUUGAACCGCAUGGUUCAAUAGUGAAAGACGGUUUUGCUGUCACUUAUAGAUGGAUCCGCGCCGCAUUAGCUAGUUGGUAAGGUAACGGCUUACCAAGGCAACGAUGCGUAGCCGACCUGAGAGGGGGAUCGGCCACACGAGAAUGGAGACCCGCACCAGAACCCUGAGGGGGGCCACAGUCGGGAAUGUUCCGGAAGGGGGGAAAACUUGACGGAGCGCGCGAGCGUGAGGCAUGGAGGUCUUCGGAGCGAUAACCUCUGUUAUUUGGGAAAAACAAAUGUGUAAGGAACAAUGCACGUCUUGACGGUACCUAGUAAAGAAGCACCGGCUAACUACGUG
rnacentral:rRNA from 1 species